rnacentral:rRNA from 1 species
AUACGUAGGGUGCAAGCGUUAAUCGGAAUUACUGGGCGUAAAGCGUGCGCAGGCGGUUUUGUAAGACAGUGGUGAAAUCCCCGGGCUCAACCUGGGAACUGCCAUUGUGACUGCAAGGCUGGAGUGGGGCAGAGGGGGAUGGAAUUCCGCGUGUAGCAGUGAAAUGCGUAGAUAUGCGGAGGAACACCGAUGGCGAAGGCAAUCCCCUGGGCCUGCACUGACGCUCAUGCACGAAAGCGUGGGGAGCAAACAGGAUUAGAUACCCUGGUAGUCCACGCCCUAAACGAUGUCAACUGGUUGUUGGGGAUUUAUUUUCUCAGUAACGAAGCUAACGCGUGAAGUUGACCGCCUGGGGAGUACGGCCGCAAGGUUAAAACUCAAAUGAAUUGGCGGGG